AUAUUUUGAACCGCAUGGUUCAAAAGUGAAAGACGGUCUUGCUGUCACUUAUAGAUGGAUCCGCGCUGCAUUAGCUAGUUGGUAAGGUAACGGCUUACCAAGGCAACGAUGCAUAGCCGACCUGAGAGGGUGAUCGGCCACACUGGAACUGAGACACGGUCCAGACUCCUACGGGAGGCAGCAGUAGGGAAUCUUCCGCAAUGGGCGAAAGCCUGACGGAGCAACGCCGCGUGAGUGAUGAAGGUCUUCGGAUCGUAAAACUCUGUUAUUAGGGAAGAACAUAUGUGUAAGUAACUGUGCACAUCUUGACGGUACCUAAUCAGAAAGCCACGGCUAACUACGUGCCAGCAGCCGCGGUAAUACGUAGGUGGCAAGCGUUAUCCGGAAUUAUUGGGCGUAAAGCGCGCGUAGGCGGUUUUUUAAGUCUGAUGUGAAAGCCCACGGCUCAACCGUGGAGGGUCAUUGGAAAC
rnacentral:rRNA from 1 species